rnacentral:rRNA from 1 species
AAAGAAAAACACAUGUGUAAGAAAAAAUGCAGUUAAGCACUUUUCAUUCUGUAAUGAUCCUUCCGUAAGUUGGACCUGCGGAAGGAUCAUUA